rnacentral:rRNA from 1 species
UACAGAGGUCCCAAGCGCUGUUCGGAUUCACUGGGCGUAAAGGGUGCGUAGGUGGCCAGGUAAGUUUGGUGUGAAAGCUCGGAGCUUAACUCCGAAAAGUCAUUGAAUACUAUCUGGCUGGAGGGUCGGAGGGGAGACUGGAAUUCUCGGUGUAGCAGUGAAAUGCGUAGAUAUCGAGAGGAACACCAGUGGCGAAGGCGAGUCUCUGGACGACUCCUGACACUGAGGCACGAAAGCUAGGGGAGCAAACAGG